UACUAUCAUGCAGGUUUAAGACAAUUUGAUUUGUACUUUCGUUUUCUUCCAAAUACCACAUUUCAAGUAACUGAUUGACAGAUUUCAAUCCAGCUAGUAUAAUUAUUUACAAAUAGUAAAAAUUAUGAAUUAUUUUAUAGUUCUAAGAUCAUGGUGAUUUAUCUUUUGUAAACGAAACUUUGUGCGAAAGGAUCUAAUUUAUGCAUAAUUAUUUGAAUAUUUUGAGCUGCUGAGUUUAUGUAUACCAAUGUUUGAAAUAGAUGUUGGUGUCCCUGGGAAGUGGACCAUGGGAUCAGCUAUUUGGUGGAGGAAACUCCAGCCUUUGGUGUGGCAGCUGUUGCAGCCCUUGCCAGUGGACUCAUAGCUGUCUUGUUUAUUCCCCGACCUGGUGGUCAAAAGCCAAGCCUAGAAGCCCAGUAUGAGGUAUUAUGUUCUUUCUGCAUUUGGCACUGAUUUGUUUUGAAAGAGGGAUGAUGAAAAUGAACAGGUAGCAAUAAUUUGUAAAUAGUUUUGUUUUACUUUUGUUUGAUUGUAGUCUUUAUAUUGAGGCUUCCAUUCAUCGAAAUACCCCCACCAGCCUGCCCAAUUUUUUUGUAAUUUUGAAUAAUUGUUACAUGGAUAUAUUUUCAUCUUACCGGUUAUUAUUUAUAGCCGUUGAGCAAAUUUUGAGUGUCAUUAUUUUCUGAUAUUUUGGAAGCUUUUGGCUCUCUCCUUUGUCAUCCUGAUGAGUGAGUAGCCUGUUUAAAACAGUGAGAAUGCUCUGCUUUGUUAAAU
rnacentral:lncRNA from 1 species